AUUUUUAUGAGGUUUGUAUGCACAGCUCCUCUUCUGUUUACCUUUUUAAAUAAUUUCGAUGGUCGGGGGGCAGACACCGUCACUAUAGGAUUUUCACUAAGUAACUCCUGAAAUGGAGGACAUGCAAACUCAAUGGGACAAUUUGAUAAGUGGGUUGAAUUUGGGUUCCCAGCAAUGGGGAGCUUUAGUCUACAUCAAUUGCAGCAGCUGAAGAUACGUUUAGAGGUAGAGGAAGGGAUAGCAGCAGAGAAACAUGCAGCCUUGUCCAAAAAACAUCAAAAGAAAAAACAUCCAUUUAAAGCAGACUGGAAAGCUUACAUUGAAUGGAGGGAGGAAGCAGAGGCAAGGGAGAGAAAAAGUCAGAAAAAAGAGGGUCAGGUUAAGAGCACUCAGGAUAAGAAGGAGGGGGGCAUGAAUAAGGAUUUCUGGGCACAAUUCACACAAGCACCAACAACAUCACAAAUACCUCCUAACACACAAACACAAUCUAACACCUUGUAUCCUUCUUUGCCUGAGGUGUACACUGCAAAAAAUCCAUUCCAGCUGGAUCCCGACCUGGACUCCGCGCUGCUUCCUCCUCCCUACAAUCCUGCUUUGAACCAACCGCAAGAUCCAAACCAGCAGCUCCAAGGAGCGCACGUUUUAAGAGACUGAAACCAAAGCCGCAACAACAGUGGCUGCAGGAGGGCCAGUAACGCAAAAUUUGGAGAAACAGAUGGAUCAGUUUGUCAGAGAGUAUCGGCCCACAAUGACUGAGCUAAAGCGCAUGAUGAGCAAAAUGCUCAAGAUGGACUAUUACAAGAUCACACCCUACUUCACGCCAGCAGUGUCGGCUGGUGGAGGUGGUUUACAGCCGUACGGAUAAUGUUGAUUACAGAGACGCUAUCACUGGAUUAAUUGCCACCUGCAAGGCCGCUUUUCCGAUGCGGAUGGAUCUGUCAAUUAUCACCUCGGUGGCGCAGGAGCCGACGGAGACCUGUCAGGCUUACCUAGCCCGUCUGACAGUGGCCUUCGAUCUUCACAUUGGAAUGACAGGGGGCCAGAUGGGGGCUGCAGCUCAUACAGCAUUUCAUGACCCGGUUGAGGCCAGAAAUCGCUGCAGCAGUAAGAUGAAGAUGCGUCUUUUGGAAAACAGUCAAUGAUAUUAGACUACGCUGGCCACGCGGAGGGAGAGCUUAGGGAGCGAGAAGAGAGCAGAGGGAAAGAGCAGCAGAAGAAGCUAGUGGACGCACAGUUGUCUAUGUUUAACUCCAUCGACACCACAAGACAAAAGAAAGAGUCCUCCCGUUGCGGGAAAGAGGGGGCCGGGGGAGAGGUUGCAAGAAUGACCAGCAAAGUGUCAGCGACCCGGAUUUUUUGUUGGAACUGUGGGGAAACUGGACAUUGGCAAGAUGAAUGCAAAAAAGAAAAAAAGAGGGGUUAUGUGAAAUCGGACUGAAAUGAGGGAGUGGAGGCGGAGUGGACACUGGGGACGGACCGGCCUGCCACACACGCAUCAAUGGUUGUUCCAAGGAGAAUUUUGCCCGCAUGUGGCGUUGGCUAAGCCUGCUGAUUGGAGAUGGAGGGAUCUGGGGAGGUGGAUUCACACUCAGAGUCAGCUGACUGACUACAAGCCCAUGUAAGGGGAUCCGAGAACACUGUACAGUAAAAAGGGUGAUGUAUACAAGGCUCUAUUGACAUACACUGGUCUAGUUAAGAGAACUGUUGAACCAAGUCCAGUAACAGGUUUCUCACUGUUUCACACUGUGAGAAAUACAUUAUAAGUUGCUGAUUUUUAGGAUUUCACUGUAAUUAACUUGUGAGAAAUUAGCAUUGGUCACAGGGUUUUUAUUUCUAAUCAAAGGGUUGUCUGACUUACAAUGAACAUCUGCUGACAUGUAGGUGGGAGUUUUAACAUAGACUAAUCAAGAAGUAGGAACACAACUUUGAUGCCACAUACAAUUGCAUUCUUAUCAGCCCAGGAAGAAGCUUUUGAGUGUGUGCUAAAACUCUGCCAUUUGUUUUCCCUUGUCUUGGCAGUUUACUAUUGCUGUACUUGUUCUGUAUUUAAGAAGAAGAAAUGCUGAGUUCAGGCCAUGGAGUUCUCUCCAUGGCCACGUAACAUAAAGAAAUGAUUCAACACA